rnacentral:rRNA from 1 species
GAUGAACGCUGGCGGCGUGCCUAAUACAUGCAAGUCGAGCGAACAGACGAGGAGCUUGCUCCUCUGACGUUAGCGGCGGACGGGUGAGUAACACGUGGAUAAACUACCUAUAAGACUGGGAUAACUUCGGGAAACCGGAGCUAAUACCGGAUAAUAUAUUGAACCGCAUGGUUCAAUAGUGAAAGACGGUUUUGCUGUCACCUAUAGAUGGAUCCGCGCCGCAUUAGCUAGUUGGUAAGGUAACGGCUUACCAAGGCAACGAUGCGUAGCCGACCUGAGAGGGUGAUCGGCCACACUGGAACUGAGACACGGUCCAGACUCCUACGGGAGGCAGCAGUAGGGAAUCUUCCGCAAUGGGCGAAAGCCUGACGGAGCAACGCCGCGUGAGUGAUGAAGGUCUUCGGAUCGUAAAACUCUGUUAUUAGGGAAGAACAAAUGUGUAAGUAACUAUGCACGUCUUGACGGUACCUAAUCAGAAAGCCACGGCUAACUACGUG